rnacentral:rRNA from 1 species
ACACGACUACAUUAGAUACCCCCGUAGUCCAGGGUGUAAACGCUGCGGGCUUGGUGUUGGGGGUCCUUUGAGGGCGCCCAGUGCCGGAGAGAAGUUGUUAAGCCUGCUACUUGGGGAGUACGUCCGCAAGGAUGAAACUUAAAGGAAUUGGCGGGGGAGCACCGCAACGGGAGGAGCGUGCGGUUUAAUUGGAUUCAACACCGUAAAACUCACCAGGGGAGACUGUUACAUGAAGGCCGAGAUGAAGACUCUGCUAGAUUUUCAG